rnacentral:rRNA from 1 species
UACAGAGGUCUCAAGCGUUGUUCGGAUUCAUUGGGCGUAAAGGGUGCGUAGGUGGCGCUGUAAGUCGGGUGUGAAAUUUCGGAGCUUAACUCCGAAACUGCAUUCGAUACUGCGGUGCUUGAGGACUGGAGAGGAGACUGGAAUUCAUGGUGUAGCAGUGAAAUGCGUAGAGAUCAUGAGGAAGACCAGUGGCGAAGGCGGGUCACUGGACCGGAACUGACGCUGAGGCGCGAAAGCGUGGGGAGCAAACAGG